GUCUUCAUCUUAAGAGGGCUAUCACAAAUUUUCGCGAAUUUAAACGUUUUAUACGAGUUUUGAUGCUUUGGAUAUAGUCACAAUAAAAAAACAAAAAUAAGAUUCAGAAAGUUUGAUCAUUUAUCUUGAAAGUGUAUUAAAUAAAUAUUUUAAUUUGUCCACGUACAUCAGUAAAAUCUUUAUCUCUGCAAAGGAUGUUUCAUAAAAUGUUGCUUUUGGGUAUCUUUUGAUGCUUCGGUACUCCGAGGAUAUAGCAAUUUAACCAUUUAUAAAAAUGUUCAAGAUACAACUAUAUCUUGUACUUGGAAGUGCUUAAAUCAAUUUAUUACAAUUCAUACAGUAUUACACCAAAAAUAAUUCUAUAAAACUGAGAAUUACUGACAAUUUUCCGUACGAAACUAUAUUUUUUAUCUAUGAAAGUAUAAUCCAAAUUCAAAUAAAAAACAUUUAAUAAUUAAGGUGGUAUUGUUAUAAAGCUUGAAAAAAAAAAAUGGUCUAUUUAAAAGUAAAACAAUAUUUUAAAAUCAUUUUUGUUUGCAAUGCAAAAAUCAAUAUAAAUCUUGUGACGCGCGGUGUUCAACUUUAGUCAGCGCCAGGCGCUUACCGAGGAGAGACGUAUCGCUCGCUGUUGCGCCGCGUAAACUCGCCGGAGUUCGAAAAAUAUAGCGCAACCUACGCAUCUAACACGUUUUGAUACUAGAUAAUGAAAGCAUAUUUAAUUCAGACUAUCAGACUCAAUUGAAUACCAGUACAAAUAAUAUGGUAAGUAUUUUUUGUCACCCGCAAAAGGUAUACGUGACAUAUUUGUUUUAAUAAACUAUCUACAUUCCUAGUUUUCAUUGUUGCAGGAAAAUGAAGAUACAAUACAUGGAAGACGAAUUAUAGAUUUUAGUUUUUUUAUAAAUCAAUUACUUAUAAUUGAUAAACAUGGUGAAAAGUUUGGUUGUCGAUUAAAUAAUUUAAAAAUUGUAAA